GACAUAGUAUAAGAAAUAAAAUUAUAUGACAUUUGAAGUUUGGAGGUGAGGGGAGCGGCAAUCAACUGUAGAUUCACGUUGGAACUAGUAAGAUUGAACAGAUCUGUGUAAAGAAGACGAACAAAUGGGCUGAUGUUACCAAAUAACAAAAACAAACCAAGAGAGGAAAAAGUGAUUGAUUGAUGUUUCUUUACAUUUUUUACG
rnacentral:lncRNA from 1 species